rnacentral:rRNA from 1 species
AGUCCAGCAACGAGCGAAACCCCUAUCUUUAGUUAUUAACAGGUUAAGCUGAACACUCUAAAGAAACUGCCGGUGUUAAGCCGGAGGAAGGUGGGGAUGACGUCAAGUCAGCAUGGUCCUUAUAUCUAGGGCUACACACGUGCUACAAUGGGCGGUACAAAGGGCAGCCAACCCGCGAGGGGGAGCCAAUCCCAUAAAACCGUUCGUAGUCCGGAUCGGAGUCUGCAACUCGACUCCGUGAAGUCGGAAUCGCUAGUAAUCGCAGAUCAGCAUGCUGCGGUGAAUACGUUCCCGGGCCUU